GGCAAAUGAUGUUUUUUUCUCACGAUGGUCUGCGGAUGCCACUCACCGGGCAGUGCCGAUAAUGCCACAGGCAAAGCUGAUGCCAGGAG